UGGAUUGCAUGAUUAUCGAAAAGGAAUUAAUCUUUGUUUAAGGGAUACCUUUAAUGCUUGGGAUUUCUUUGUUGAGACAAAGCCUUAUAUGUUAAAAGGACUAAUAAAUGUGAAUGUUUGAUUAACUGAUGGUUGGGAUUUCUUAUUGCAUAUGAAAGAUUUGCUAAUUUUAGUCAUAUACAUCUGCUGAUAUAAAGAAGUUUAUUUAAGCAUUUAACUUUGUGCAGGUAUGACUAUUUCGGGUACGGACAGUCUUCCGGGAAGCUCAUACCUUCCCUGUGUUGCAGCCAAGUGAGCAGAAUACCUACGCAGAUAUUGAGGCUGUAUAUAAAUGUCUUGAGGAAAGCUAUGGCGCAAAGCAGGAGAAUAUCAUCCUUUACGGUCAAAGAUACGAUAUUCCCCUGAAAUGAUUGACGGAAAAAGAGUAUGGAAAAUUGAUCGGUUAGCACCCUGACUAGUAUUCUCAGCAUCUUCAUUAUAAAGUUCGUCAUUGGGUAACAGCAGGUGCUAUAUUAGGAUGUAUAGUAGCAUACCUCAUGAAAUGCUCCAGUUAAGGGAUGGUGCAGUUAUUGCUUCUCAAUUACCAAAUCUUCAAGAGGCUUUCGAGCUUUUCAAUUGUGGUAACAGCAGGUUUUUAGACAAAGGGUGAAAAAUUUCGAGUGUAUAAACUGAGAAUUGAAAUUUGUGUAAAUAAAAAAUCUCCCCAAACAUCACCUCUAGAUUGUCAUUGUACCCACAAUGUCUCAGCCCUAGCCUUCUCAUCUGGUGUGGAAAACCUAUUCCACGAAUUCAACGAAAUCAUUUUCCCUUUGUUCAUCAUCACAUAUUCCACUUCCAAUCUUGCCUACACUGAAACACUAAUUUUCAGGCCUUGGUUGGUCACUCAACAACCUAUCUCCUUAUGAGGAUGUAAAAAUCCGGCUACAAAUGGGAAGGGUUCAGUGCUUUCCAGGAACCAGUCCUCAGGCUUCAGAAUCACCACAAUCUUGCCUUCAACAACACUACAUACAACCAUCGACGUAAUUUUUUAUCUUUUGAUCCAUAGUUGGGUCAAUGAUUAUAUUGAGAUGGUUCUUAGAGAGGUUUCCUAUUGAUUCAAAGGUUUUGGGAGAAUGAAAAGUAGUGUGUGAGAUUGAUUUAAGGAGUGACACAGAGGUCAUGCAGUAGAUAAGAGUUCCUGCUAGAAGACUGUUAUUUGAAAAGGCCAAGAAGACUAUUUUUAGGUAUAUAAUCAUCAUUUUGGUGAAGAUGAUGGAUGACUUGAUGAAGCUGAAGAGAGCUGUGGAUGAAGUUAUUUUCAGAAAAUUUGGAGAUUGCGUUUUACGGAGUUUUAUUUUAUUUUUUAUUUUAUUUUUUUAUGAAAAAUUG